GACGAACGCUGGCGGCGUGCUUAACACAUGCAAGUCGAGCGAGGACAUUUAGCAAUAGAUGUUCUAGCGGCGGACGGGUGAGUAACGCGUGAGCAAUCUGUCCCAGACAGGGGGAUAACAGAUGGAAACAUCUGCUAAUACCGCAUAAGACCACGGUUUCACAUGGGAUCGGGGUAAAAGGCGAAAGCCGGUUUGGGGUGAGCUCGCGUCCGAUUAGCUGGUUGGCGGGGUAACGGCCCACCAAGGCGACGACCGGUAGCCGACCUGAGAGGGUGAUCGGCCACACUGGAACUGAGAGACGGUCCAGACUCCUACGGGAGGCAGCAGUGGGGAAUAUUGGGCAAUGGGGGAAACCCUGACCCAGCAACGCCGCGUGAGGGAAGAAGGUUUUCGGAUUGUAAACCUCUGUCCUUGGUGAAGAAAGAGAUGACGGUAGCCAAGGAGGAAGCCCCGGCUAACUACGUG
rnacentral:rRNA from 1 species